rnacentral:tRNA from 1 species
GCCGGAGUGCUUGGAACUGGAAUACAGCAUCGGCUCAAAACCGAUGGCCCUUCGGGGCUUGUGGGUUCGAAUCCCACCUCCGGCA